CGAACGGGUGAGUAACACGUGGGUAAUCUGCCCUCGAUUCUGGGAUAGCCCGGGGAAACCCGGAUUAAUACCGGAUAGCCUCUCGAGCUUACGAGCUCGUGAGAAAAGGUAGCUUCGGCCUCCGAUCGAGGAUGAGCCCGCGGCGGAUUAGCUUGUUGGUGGGGUAAUGGCCUACCAAGGCGACGAUCCGUAGCUGGUCUGAGAGGACGAUCAGCCACACUGGGACUGAGACACGGCCCAGACUCCUACGGGAGGCAGCAGUGGGGAAUCUUGCGCAAUGGGCGAAAGCCUGACGCAGCGACGCCGCGUGGGGGAAGAAGGCCUUCGGGUUGUAAACCUCUUUCAGCAGGGACGAAGCCACUCGGGUUAAUAGCCCAGAGGGUGACGGUACCUGCAGAAGAAGCCCCGGCUAACUACGUGCCAGCAGCCGCGGUAAUACGUAGGGGGCAAGCGUUGUCCGGAUUUAUUGGGCGUAAAGAGCGUGUAGGCGGCCGCACAGGUCCGUUGUGAAAACUGGAGGCUUAACCUUCAGACGUCGAUGGAAACCGUGCGGCUAGAGUCCGGAAGAGGAGAAUGGAAUUCCUGGUGUAGCG
rnacentral:rRNA from 1 species